UACGUAGGGUGCAAGCGUUGCCCGGAUUUAUUGGGCGUAAAGGGCGCGUAGGCGGCUCGGCACGUCCGUUGUGAAAUCGCCCGGCUCAACUGGGCGGGGUCAGCGGAUACGGCCGAGCUUGAGCAAGCUAGGGGGCAAUGGAAUUCCCGGUGUAGUGGUGGAAUGCGUAGAUAUCGGGAGGAACACCAGUGGCGAAGGCGACUACCUGGCCUGUUCUUGACGCUGAGGCGCGAAAGCUAGGGGAGCAAACGGG
rnacentral:rRNA from 1 species